GGCGGCAGGCUUAACACAUGCAAGUCGAGCGGGCGUAGCAAUACGUCAGCGGCAGACGGGUGAGUAACGCGUGGGAACGUACCUUUUGGUUCGGAACAACACAGGGAAACUUGUGCUAAUACCGGAUAAGCCCUUACGGGGAAAGAUUUAUCGCCGAAAGAUCGGCCCGCGUCUGAUUAGCUAGUUGGUAGGGUAAUGGCCUACCAAGGCGACGAUCAGUAGCUGGUCUGAGAGGAUGAUCAGCCACAUUGGGACUGAGACACGGCCCAAACUCCUACGGGAGGCAGCAGUGGGGAAUAUUGGACAAUGGGGGCAACCCUGAUCCAGCCAUGCCGCGUGAGUGAUGAAGGCCCUAGGGUUGUAAAGCUCUUUUGUGCGGGAAGAUAAUGACGGUACCGCAAGAAUAAGCCCCGGCUAACUUCGUGCCAGCAGCCGCGGUAAUACGAAGGGGGCUAGCGUUGCUCGGAAUCACUGGGCGUAAAGGGUGCGUAGGCGGGUCUUUAAGUCAGGGGUGAAAUCCUGGAGCUCAACUCCAGAACUGCCUUUGAUACUGAAGAUCUUGAGUUCGGGAGAGGUGAGUGGAACUGCGAGUGUAGAGGUGAAAUUCGUAGAUAUUCGCAAGAACACCAGUGGCGAAGGCGGCUCACUGGCCCGAUACUGACGCUGAG
rnacentral:rRNA from 1 species